CCCGCUUUUCCCUCAGAAACACCCGCUUUUCCCUCAGAAACACCCGCUUUUCUCUCAGAAACACCCGCUUUUCCCUCAGAAACACCCGCUUCCCCCUCCCCCCACCCCAACCAGCCGGCUGAGGAGGCUCCGCGGCCGCGCCGCCAUUAACAGCGGCGGGCGCGCUCUGCUGACUGUGAGGCGAGAGAAAGCGGCGGGGUUUCGGAGCGAGAUAAGAAUCUUAUUACGCAACGCACAUUUUUAAUAGAUUAAUGCCGAGUCCAGGGCUGAGGUAAUACGGGCUGUCAGCAGCUGGGGCGAGAGGCCGAGGGACGAGCGGGCUGCGGCCGCUCCCUCCCAAAGGCCCCGAAGCACCGUUUCUUCACCAUCCGUGAGGAGAACUUUGAUAUAUCACGUUAUUUUCCACAGAAGGAUCUAUUUAUGUGGUUACACAUGCACAGGUACGUCUUUUUCGGCAUAUCUCGACUGUAAAGGUUUGCUUUCUGUAUUAUAAUCUCUCCAAAACCGUCAGAAAUAGUUCUGCCUGUGCUCAAUCUCAAGAAACGAUACAGUCCCAAGGGUAAAAAAGCCACAGUAAAAGGAUGGUCUCGGUUAUAUUUAGCUGAGCAGCAGCACACGAGCAGAAACACAAGGAAGAACAAAGUGAAAACGCUCGACAGUUGGUAACAAAAACCUGCGAGAUCUGAGGUAGAUUUUUUUUAAAUUUUCCUUCUCCUAAUUCACAUUUUGCCGUGCAGAGGGAACAUUAAAGCAGUACAUGGACUUACGUGAACAAAAGCCUGCUCAACCCUGUCAUUCUACCAGAAGAGAGUAAAAAUUUUCAGCUUAUCUCUACAGUACCAAAUCACAGGCAUCUCCAAACCCACUCAAAAUCCCAAAUCCCACCUAAAUCAGUGAUUCAUCACCUCUGGCAGCAAAUGAUGUCGGAAGGAGAUGAUGAAGACAAUGGUACACAUUUGCAUUAUGUAAUGAAACUAAAACUCACUUGCUUCUACUUUCACUUCAGUUGUUGAAACGGGGUAGGAAAGUCCAUGACUAAAUAAAAUACACAGGAGGUUUCAGGGAGCCUGUUUUUCCCAUGAUUAAAAUCCUCUUGGCAGUAUUUUUCAUCAGUGUAUUUCAUUAUUAAGACACACAUAUAUUCCAUUCCAAUGGUAAUUCCUUGCUCCAGAAAGAAUGACAUCACAGAGAAAUCUAAAAUUAAAACCAAUCUCUAAUUAUCUUACGCCUUGCCCACUCGUCAUGAGAACUUUAAAUACAGCUAUCAGAAUUAUUAAAAAAAAACCCAAAAACACCCUUUUCAAAUAUCUGUAAGUGCAACUUCUUCCUGUUUCUUGAUUUCAGAAGACUGGAAUAACUAUGCUCAUGUAGACCUUGGUGAAUAUAAAGCCGGUGUUGUAUCUAAGCUGAAAAUGCUCUUUUAAUUUCACAGUAUCUAUUUCGUAUUACAAGCUGUAGAGAAGUAAGUCAUCUAACUAAUUAUUCAUCCAACUCCAUAGUCCUGGAGAUGAGACAACCAAAUAAACACUCUUAAAAAUAAAUUAAAGGUGACUAUAUUACACACUAUAGGAAAUUAUUAAUUUAACUGGUAAAUCCCCCAGCAUCCUCCACAUCAGACAACUGAAUAAACACUUUUAAGAAAUAAAUUAAAGGCCAAGGGAAAUCUCAGGUCACUUAUCUGUAGAUCGAACACAUGGGAUGUUCAUGCUUUCACAGCCUGGACAUCACCUACAGGAAAUCAAACACUUCUGCCUGGGUUUUUGUAAAUGAAUUCAAAGCCCAUUCCAACAAGGAUUUUAGGAGCAAAAUGCUCCACUCUCAGCAUCGGGUGGUUCAGCACACUGCUGCAGCAAAGCUUUAAAAAUAAUCACUAACACAUGGAGUGGCAAGAGAUGUGUCAGGCCACUGAUGUUCCAAAUUUGAAUCAAAAAGCCCAGAAAUUAUUUUUAGCAUAUUAGAGCACCUCGACAAGCCUAGUAAAGAGCUUUUUCUACAAAAGAAAAAAAAAAGGCAAAAACCAAAAAAAGCAAGGGGGAUGUUUGGAGGAGGUUGGGCAGGGCACAAACAAAAUCGGCUUUGCUUCCUAUGGGAUCAUCCAGCUUCCACCCAGAGCCAGCUUCUUCCAUGACACAGUACAGAAAAUAUGUUUUCUAAUGUAUCAUUUGUGGUGUGUGUCUGAAUCACUCAAGUGGAGAAAUUGAAGCUUCUGGUGGUGGCAAUUAUCAUUUUCAAGGGCUUUUUUAUUCUUUCAAGGUGAUAAAAAAAUUCUGUCAACCCGUUUCCACAAUAUGGGUGGGGAAUAAGCAAUCUCACACUAAGACAACUUCAAAACACAAAUUCCUCCUCAAAUCCAUGUUAGAACCAUCCACAUUCACCAGCUUCCUCACCUCAGCAGGCAACUUCUAAGAGGCUACAAAACAACCCAAAUAAAGCCUGGCUUCAAAGAAUACUGGUUAUUUUUAACUUGUUCUUUCUGGUUUUAGUUUCUAAAUUACUCCCUUGCAGCUCCAGCUCCAUUGCAAAGGCCUCCAAAUAGCCAUUUAAAGCCAAGUUUAGUUGAGAUCCAACACAGCAAACUCUGAACCUUUACGAGAUAAAGGCUUUUUUUGGGUUGUUUCUUAAUUUUUAACCAAACCGAUCGUGCUCCUUCAGUACUGUCCAGGAAAAUCAGCUCCAUUUAAUCAGUGUUAUUUACUUCACACAGCUCUUGAAAACCGCAAGCAAGGAAACCCAAACUUCUCCCUCAUCACCUUUCUGCUGCUUUUUCACAGCUCCUCAAGGACAGUGCCUGACACAAAGUUCCCAAAAGUGUUGAACAUCCACCCUGUGUCCCAAACACUCCCCAGGGCAGGGAACACAACUCUCCCAGCUGAGACCAACAGGACGAGACUUGAGUGACCAAGUUCUUAAACUUCAGAAGAAUGCAGUGUCAUAAAGACCUUAAUAAUACCAUGGCCUCACAAAAUUGGCCAUUUCCACUUAUUAAAAAAAAUACAAGAUUCUCCAGCUUGCUAAAAUCCUCCAGACCACCACAGAAACUGCAGGCAAUAAUUAUUCUCCAGACAAAUGAAACUCGAUAUAUUACACAGCAAGUGGGAGCACCGAACCAGGGAAAAGGGGGUGAGGCAGCAUUCACUCACCAACAGGGUAUGAGGGGCUUAAUAUUAACAUGGCUAAAUUCAAAGGGUGUUGAAAAUUAAACACUUGUGCACUGAAAGACUUCUAGGCCAGGUGGGGUUUUGCUUCCCAACAUAAAGAGAGGGUUAAAUGUCUAUUAUUAUCUAACUGAUUGCUGAGAAACAUGUAAAACUCUUUUCUGAUCCUUCAAAAUUACAUAUACAAUCCACCAGAUUCCAUUACUUGCUUGACUGAGUUUGAUUUUACUGUAUUAAUAAGAAAAAA